rnacentral:rRNA from 1 species
GGCGAACGGGUGAGUAACGCGUAGGCGAACCUGCCCUCCGGCCGGGGGACGAACACUCCGAAAGGGGUAGGCGUAAUACCGGAUACGAAGUCUGUGCCGCAUGGUACGGAUUUGAAAGAUGGCCUCUAUUUAUAAGCUAUCGCCGGGGGAUGGGCCUGCGUCCGAUUAGCUGGUUGGUGGGGUAACGGCCUACCAAGGCGACGAUCGGUAGCCGGUCUGAGAGGAUGAACGGCCACAUUGGGACUGAGACACGGCCCAGACUCCUACGGGAGGCAGCAGUGGGGAAUCUUCCGCAAUGGGCGCAAGCCUGACGGAGCAACGCCGCGUGAAGUGGGGAAGUUCUUCGGAACGUAAAGCUCUGUUGUUCCUGACGAACCUCCCCUCUAUCAACAACAGAGGGGACUGACGGUAGGGAACGAGGAAGCCACGGCUAACUACGUGCCAGCAGCAGC